GAAAAAAAAAAAAAAAAAAAAAAAAAAAAAAAAAAAAAAAAAAAAAAAAGGAUAAAUGAAAAAAAAAAAAAAAAAAAAAAAAAAAAAAAAAAAAAAAAAAAAAAAAAAAAAAAAAAAAGAAG